UCAAUCUCUCACAGACCUUCACUCUCUGCUCUUCUCACUUUUCUUCUUCUUCCUCCCCUUGCAUCUCAAAAUUCCAGUCUCAAUCAAGGAAGCUAAUUGCCAACAAUAAUCAGCUAUUCAUCAUAAGGAUGGGAAAGAAUGUGGGAAGUUCAUCAAAAGCUCCAGCUACAUGGAAUAACCAUAAUAUAUCCAUAUUCUGUGAUCUGUGCAUCAAGGAGGUGGAUGCCGGACGUCGUCCUGGCACUCAUUUUAAAAAAGAAGGAUGGGAAAAUUUUAAGAGAUAUGCCUAAUUAUCCAUUCAACAAGCAAGUGAAGAUAGUCAUUGCUACAAUGACACUUCAUAAUUAUAUAAGGAGGCAUGCCCAACGUGAUAGACAUUUUGAUGCUUCAAAUGAUAUCUUAAGUGAAGAGAUAGGUGAGGAUAUUGAUGUACAACAAGAACAUAGUCUUCAUGACAAUGGAACACAAGAUAUGGAAGCAUUGAGAAAUAGUAUCGCUACAAGUUUAAUGAAUACAUCUAAUUAGCUUCUUUUAUAUUGUAGUCAUCUAUUUGGGCAUGUUAAAAUUGAACAAGUUUUGUAUAUUUGUUAUGCUAACCCUCUCCGAAGCCCUCAAAA